CUGAGCUGUCAACCGCGAGGGAGCGGAGGCGGGGCUCCCUGCAGCCCAGGACCCGCCCAGGUGACAAGCCGCGGCGUGCCACACGCGCCCUCCCUCCGGCCUCCACCGCCUCCUUCCCGGGCUCCUCGGAGGAACGAUGCCCGCAGAGGUGGCCUUCAACGACCCUCAUCGUGCUCUCUGUCCCUCGCUCAUUCCGUUGAGGGGCUUUGGGUAGAACCACCCAGCUGCAGAGGAGCACCUUUGGAGAGACGGUCCUCCCGUGCGCCUGCGUCACCCACCCACAGUUCCCACAGCAACUGGGCUCUGCCAGAAGCUCCAAGGAGGCCGAGGGCUCCCGAACACCCCACCAUGUUUCAAACGCCUUAAGAGACUCAAGAGUGGCGCCCGGGACGUGGACUCUCUGUGGCUGUUCUUAGAUCGCUCGGAGAACCUUUCCUUCCACGGAGGGGGCUGCCCAGAUCCUGUGCAUCUACUUAGGUGUCCGUGUUUAAACAAGACAGACGUGCUGUAAUGAGAGGGCUUGCCUCCCAGAGCUCUCUUUUUAGCUCUGAAAUAAACCUUUCUAUUAAGUCACAUGA